rnacentral:rRNA from 1 species
UACGUAGGGUGCGAGCGUUAAUCGGGAUUACUGGGCGUAAAGCGUGCGCAGGCGGUUUUGUAAGCCAGAUGUGAAAUCCCCGGGCUCAACCUGGGAAUGGCAUUUGGGACUGCAAGGCUUGAGUGCGGCAGAGGAGACUGGAAUUCCUGGUGUAGCAGUGAAAUGCGUAGAUAUCAGGAGGAAUACCGAUGGCGAAGGCAGGUCUCUGGGCUGACACUGACGCUCAUGCACGAAAGCGUGGGGAGCAAACAGG